ACUAAUGAAAGGCAGCCAAAUAUCGCCGUGUCCUGCGGCAAUGGCUGCACACCCGCAUCCUGCAGG
rnacentral:sRNA from 1 species